CGCCGGUGGCAGACCGCAAGGCGCCACGGGAGGAAAGUCCGAGCUCCAUAGGGCAGGGUGCCGGUUAACGGCCGGUGGAGGCGACUCUAAGGAUAGUGCCACAGAAACAAACCGCUCACUCUUUUAGUGAGUAAGGGUGCAACGGUGCGGUAAGAGCGCACCAGCAGCAUGGAGACAUGCUGGCUAGGUAAACCCCACUUGGAGCAAGACCUGAUAGGGAAUCGACGACGUUAAGUCGUAGCUGUUGCCCGCAGUGAUUCCGGGUUUGGUCGCUCGAGCCGUGCAGCAAUGUACGGCCUAGACAGAUGAUUACUGCUCCGACGGCGGGAGCACGUGCCGCGUGCGCGCGUACCGCUAGGAGUACAGAACUCGGCUUAUUGUUUACU
rnacentral:RNase_P_RNA from 1 species